rnacentral:rRNA from 1 species
GACCCCGCACAAGCGGCGGAGCAUGCGGCUUAAUUCGAUGAUACCCGUAGAACCUUACCAGGGUUUGACAUCCUGCGAAUCUCUUGGAAACGAGAGAGUGCCUUCGGGAGCGCAGUGACAGGUGGUGCAUGGCUGUCGUCAGCUCGUGUCGUGAGAUGUUGGUUAAGUCCCGCAACGAGCGCAACCCACGUCUUUAGUUGCCAGCAUUUAGUUGGGCACUCUAGAGAGACCGCCGGUGAUAAACCGGAGGAAGGUGUGGAUGACGUCAAGUCAUCAUGCCCCUUACAUCCUGGGCUACACACGUACUACAAUGCUACGGACAAAGGGCAGCAAGUUCGCGAGGACAAGCA